UGGGGAAUUUUGGACAAUGGGAGAAAGCCUGAUCCAGCAAUGCCGCGUGUGUGAAGAAGGCCUUCGGGUUGUAAAGCACUUUUGUCCGGAAAGAAAUCCUUGGCUCUAAUACAGUCGGGGGAUGACGGUACCGGAAGAAUAAGCACCGGCUAACUACGUGCCAGCAGCCGCGGUAAUACGUAGGGUGCAAGCGUUAAUCGGAAUUACUGGGCGUAAAGCGUGCGCAGGCGGUUUGCUAAGACCGAUGUGAAAUCCCCGGGCUCAACCUGGGAACUGCAUUGGUGACUGGCAGGCUAGAGUAUGGCAGAGGGGGGUAGAAUUCCACGUGUAGCAGUGAAAUGCGUAGAGAUGUGGAGGAAUACCGAUGGCGAAGGCAGCCCCCUGGGCCAAAUACUGACGCUCAUGCACGAAAGCGUGGGGAGCAAACAGGAUUAGAUACCCUGGUAGUCCACGCCCUAAACGAUGUCAACUAGUUGUUGGGGAUUCAUUUCCUUAGUAACGUAGCUAACGCGUGAAGUUGACCGCCUGGGGAGUACGGUCGCAAGAUUAAAACUUAAAGGAAUUGAC
rnacentral:rRNA from 1 species